rnacentral:rRNA from 1 species
GACGAACGCUGGCGGCGUGCCUAAUACAUGCAAGUAGAACGCUGAAGGAGGAGCUUGCUUCUCUGGAUGAGUUGCGAACGGGUGAGUAACGCGUAGGUAACCUGCCUGGUAGCGGGGGAUAACUAUUGGAAACGAUAGCUAAUACCGCAUAAUAGUAGAUGUUGCAUGACAUUUGCUUAAAAGGUGCAAUUGCAUCACUACCAGAUGGACCUGCGUUGUAUUAGCUAGUUGGUGGGGUAACGGCUCACCAAGGCGACGAUACAUAGCCGACCUGAGAGGGUGAUCGGCCACAAUGGGACUGAGACACGGCCCAGACUCCUACGGGAGGCAGCAGUAGGGAAUCUUCGGCAAUGGACGGAAGUCUGACCGAGCAACGCCGCGUGAGUGAAGAAGGUUUUCGGAUCGUAAAGCUCUGUUGUAAGGGAAGAACGAGUGUGAGAGUGGAAAGUUCACACUGUGACGGUAUCUUACCAGAAAGGGACGGCUAACUACGUG